AUGUUUGAACCAACUGGUACUGUUUGUGGAAGCUUUGAUCAAAAGUUGGCCACACUGAGGAGCAUUGGGGAUUGUGUCAGUGAAUAUGAGCUCAGUGUGCUGUUGAAGAAGAUACCUGUCCCUGUUUGUUAUGUUUGGUGUGAUCCCUCCCCCUGGAUGCAUAUAACCCAGGGGAUCUCAAUGACAAGUAAUGUUAAUAAGAUGGUUAAAGCUGGUUUCGAAGUUAAACUAUUGAUGGCAGAUUGGUUUGCUCGAAUGGACCCUCAGAUCACGAUGAAGGUUGGUAGUGAUCUAAGUAAUAUUCAGACUAUUGGCCGGUAUAAUAUUGAGGUUUGGAAAGCAAUUGGCAUGAACCUUGGUGGGGUUGAGGUCGUGCAGUUGUCGGAUAAAAUAAGUUGCAAAACAGAUGAAUACUGGUCACUUGCAAUGGAUAUUGCAAGAAAAAGCGAUCUGAGCAGAAUAAAGAGUUGGCUUCGUGUUUAUGCAUCAAAAGAUCCAAGCAUGCGUUGUCAAGGAAGUAUUGAUCCUUAUAUGUCCAGAGAAUUUUCAGCUGCUGAAAUAGCUAAUCCUUGCUUGCAGAGCGCUGGUAUAUUAUUGCAGAAGGAAGAAGUCUGUUCAAAAAUAGAGGAUGCUUUCUGCCCUCUUAAAAAUGCAAAAUGUAAUCCGUGUUUGGAGUACAUAAAGUAUAUUAUCUUACCUUGGUUUGGAAAAUUUGAGGUGCUGCAGACUGUAGAGAACAGUGGUAUAAAGACGUUCAUGUGCAUGGAAGAGCUUGCUGCUGAUUAUGAAAGUGGCGCUUUGCAUCCAAUUGAUGUGAAGCAGGCGCUUGUCAAGGCAAUAAAUAUGAUGUUGCAGCCUGUCCGUGACCAUUUCAGUAGCAAUGAUGAAGCAAAAGAACUCAAGGAAGCUAUGCAGUGUUUGUCUACAAAUAAAAUUUGA
rnacentral:rRNA from 1 species